AGAAUCAACGCUGGCGGCGUGCCUAACACAUGCAAGUCGAACGAGAAAGGGGCUUCGGUCCUGAGUAUAGUGGCGCACGGGUGAGUAACACGUGAAUAAUCUACCUCCGAGUGGGGAAUAACUGGAAGAAAUUUCAGCUAAUACCGCAUAACACUUACGAGUCAAAGCAGCAAUGCGCUUGGAGAGGAGUUCGCGGCAGAUUAGUUAGUUGGCGGGGUAAUGGCCCACCAAGACGAUGAUCUGUAUCCGGCCUGAGAGGGCGCACGGACACACUGGAACUGAAACACGGUCCAGACUCCUACGGGAGGCAGCAGUGGGGAAUUUUGCGCAAUGGGGGAAACCCUGACGCAGCAACGCCGCGUGGAGGAUGAAGUAUCUUGGUACGUAAACUCCUUUCGAUGGGGAAGAUAAUGACGGUACCCAUAGAAGAAGCCCCGGCUAACUUCGCGCCAGCAGCCGC
rnacentral:rRNA from 1 species